rnacentral:rRNA from 1 species
CGUACGCUUCUUUUUCCACCGGAGCUUGCUCCACCGGAAAAAGAGGAGUGGCGAACGGGUGAGUAACACGUGGGUAACCUGCCCAUCAGAAGGGGAUAACACUUGGAAACAGGUGCUAAUACCGUAUAACAAUCGAAACCGCAUGGUUUUGAUUUGAAAGGCGCUUUCGGGUGUCGCUGAUGGAUGGACCCGCGGUGCAUUAGCUAGUUGGUGAGGUAACGGCUCACCAAGGCCACGAUGCAUAGCCGACCUGAGAGGGUGAUCGGCCACAUUGGGACUGAGACACGGCCCAAACUCCUACGGGAGGCAGCAGUAGGGAAUCUUCGGCAAUGGACGAAAGUCUGACCGAGCAACGCCGCGUGAGUGAAGAAGGUUUUCGGAUCGUAAAACUCUGUUGUUAGAGAAGAACAAGGAUGAGAGUAACUGUUCAUCCCUUGACGGUAUCUAACCAGAAAGCCACGGCUAACUACGUGCCAGCAGCCGCGGUAAUACGUAGGUGGCAAGCGUUGUCCGGAUUUAUUGGGCGUAAAGCGAGCGCAGGCGGUUUCUUAAGUCUGAUGUGAAAGCCCCCGGCUCAACCGGGGAGGGUCAUUGGAAACUGGGAGACUUGAGUGCAGAAGAGGAGAGUGGAAUUCCAUGUGUAGCGGUGAAAUGCGUAGAUAUAUGGAGGAACACCAGUGGCGAA